rnacentral:pre_miRNA from 1 species
AUGUAUAUAUGUAUGUGUGUUUGUGCAUGUUUGUAUGUGUGUAUAUGCAUGUGUGUAUAUAUUCUUAAAAUGU